AUUGAACGCUGGCGGCAUGCCUUACACAUGCAAGUCGAACGGUAACAGGUCUUCGGAUGCUGACGAGUGGCGAACGGGUGAGUAAUACAUCGGAACGUGCCUAGUAGUGGGGGAUAACUACUCGAAAGAGUGGCUAAUACCGCAUGAGAUCUACGGAUGAAAGCAGGGGAUCGCAAGACCUUGUGCUACUAGAGCGGCCGAUGGCAGAUUAGGUAGUGGGUGGGAUAAAAGCUUACCAAGCCGCCGAUCUGUAGCUGGUCUGAGAGGACGAUCAGCCACACUGGGACAGAGACACGGCCCAGACUCCUACGGGAGGCAGCAGUGGGGAAUUUUGGACAAUGGGCGCAAGCCUGAUCCAGCAAUGCCGCGUGCAGGAUGAAGGCCUUCUGGUUGUAAACUGCUUUUGUACGGAACGAAAAGCCCUGGGUUAAUACCCUGGGGUCAUGACGGUACCGUAAGAAUAAGCACCGGCUAACUACGUGCCAGCCGCCGCCGUAAUAC
rnacentral:rRNA from 1 species